UUGAGUUUGAUCCUGGCUCACUUUGAACGCUAGCGACAGGCUUAACACAUGCAAGUCGAGGGGCAGCACGGGUAGCAAUACCGGGUGGCGACCGGCGCACGGGUGAGUAACGCGUAUGCAACUUGCCUAUCAGAGGGGGAUAACCCGGCGAAAGUCGGACUAAUACCGCAUGAAGCAGGGGCCCCGCAUGGGGAUAUUUGCUAAAGAUUCAUCGCUGAUAGAUAGGCAUGCGUUCCAUUAGGCAGUUGGCGGGGUAACGGCCCACCAAACCGACGAUGGAUAGGGGUUCUGAGAGGAAGGUCCCCCACAUUGGUACUGAGACACGGACCAAACUCCUACGGGAGGCAGCAGUGAGGAAUAUUGGUCAAUGGGCGUAAGCCUGAACCAGCCAAGUCGCGUGAGGGAUGAAGGUUCUAUGGAUCGUAAACCUCUUUUAUAAGGGAAUAAAGUGCGGGACGUGUCCCGUUUUGUAUGUACCUUAUGAAUAAGGAUCGGCUAACUCCGUGCCAGCAGCCGCGGUAAUACGGAGGAUCCGAGCGUUAUCCGGAUUUAUUGGGUUUAAGGGUGCGUAGGCGGCCUUUUAAGUCAGCGGUGAAAGUCUGUGGCUCAACCAUAGAAUUGCCGUUGAAACUGGGGGGCUUGAGUAUGUUUGAGGCAGGCGGAAUGCGUGGUGUAGCGGUGAAAUGCUUAGAUAUCACGCAGAACCCCGAUUGCGAAGGCAGCCUGCCAAGCCAUGACUGACGCUGAUGCACGAAAGCGUGGGGAUCAAACAGGAUUAGAUACCCUGGUAGUCCACGCAGUAAACGAUGAUCACUAGCUGUUUGCGAUACACUGUAAGCGGCACAGCGAAAGCGUUAAGUGAUCCACCUGGGGAGUACGCCGGCAACGGUGAAACUCAAAGGAAUUGACGGGGGCCCGCACAAGCGGAGGAACAUGUGGUUUAAUUCGAUGAUACGCGAGGAACCUUACCCGGGUUUGAACGCAUUUCGACCGCUCUGGAAACAGAGCCUCUAGCAAUAGCGAUUUGCGAGGUGCUGCAUGGUUGUCGUCAGCUCGUGCCGUGAGGUGUCGGCUUAAGUGCCAUAACGAGCGCAACCCUUGCCACUAGUUACUAACAGGUAAAGCUGAGGACUCUGGUGGGACUGCCAGCGUAAGCUGCGAGGAAGGCGGGGAUGACGUCAAAUCAGCACGGCCCUUACAUCCGGGGCGACACACGUGUUACAAUGGCGUGGACAAAGGGAAGCCACCUGGCGACAGGGAGCGAAUCCCCAAACCACGUCUCAGUUCGGAUCGGAGUCUGCAACCCGACUCCGUGAAGCUGGAUUCGCUAGUAAUCGCGCAUCAGCCAUGGCGCGGUGGAUACGUUCCCGGGCCUUGUACACACCGCCCGUCAAGCCAUGGGAGCCGGGGGUACCUGAAGUCCGUAACCGCGAGGAUCGGCCUAGGGUAAAACUGGUGACUGGGGCUAAGUCGUAACAAGGUAGCCGUA
rnacentral:rRNA from 1 species